CAUCAUUCCCUAAAAAAUUACACCAAAAAAAUAAAAUAAAAAAUACCACUAUGACUACCAACUCAUUCUACCUCCAUUAUAAACCAUCCAAAAAACACAAGAAAUAAUUCCCACCAUAAAACUUACCACAAAACUGCCAUGCCCACCAUCAAAGUCACUCCCAACAUAAACACCAAAAUUAAAAAUCAAAAUUUGGAUUAUAAAUCCAAAGAAAUAAAGAUAUGAAAUUCCGGAAAAUGGUUGUGAUUGUUCGAAAGUGACAUUUAUAGUAGCGAUGGAUCGCGAUGAAGGGGUGUUGGUGAGUCACACCAUUAGUUGGUGUUGUGGUAGUCGAAGACAUGAGGAAGAAAGACGGUGGCUAAGGUUUUAGAUGAACACGAUAUUUUGUAAAUUACAAACAUUAAAC
rnacentral:lncRNA from 1 species